UACGUAGGGGGCAAGCGUUGUCCGGAUUUAUUGGGCGUAAAGAGCGUGUAGGCGGCUUGGUAGGUCCGCUGUGAAAACUCGAGGCUCAACCUCGAGAUGUCGGCGGAAACCACUUGGCUAGAGUCCGGAAGAGGAGAGUGGAAUUCCUGGUGUAGCGGUGAAAUGCGUAGAUAUCUGGAGGAACACCGGUGGCGAAGGCGACGUCCUGGACCGGCAUUGACGCUGAGGCGCGAAAGCCAGGGGAGCAAACGGG
rnacentral:rRNA from 1 species